CGAACGGGUGAGUAACAUGUGGGAAUCUGCCCUCCACUUUGGGAUAACACCGGGAAACCGGUGCUAAUACUGAAUAUUGAAACAUAAGUGGCAUCACUGAGUUUUGAAAGAAUUUCGGUGGAGGAUGACUUCGCGGCCUAUCAGCUUGUUGGUGAGGUAAUGGCUCACCAAGGCAACGACGGGUAGCCGGCCUGAGAGGGCGACCGGCCACACUGGGACUGAGACACGGCCCAGACUCC
rnacentral:rRNA from 1 species